rnacentral:rRNA from 1 species
AGGGCACCACCAGGAGUGGAGCCUGCGGCUUAAUUUGACUCAACACGGGAAACCUCACCCGGCCCGGACACGGACAGGAUUGACAGAUCGAUAGCUCUUUCUCGAUUCCGUGGGUGGUGGUGCAUGGCCGUUCUUAGUUGGUGGAGCGAUUUGUCUGGUUAAUUCCGAUAACGAACGAGACUCUGGCAUGCUAACUAGUUACGCGACCCCCCGAGCGGUCGGCGUCCCCCAACUUCUUAGAGGGACAAGUGGCGUUCAGCCACCCGAGAUUGAGCAAUAACAGGUCUGUGAUGCCCUUAGAUGUCCGGGGCUGCACGCGCGCUACACUGACUGGCUCAGCGUGUGCCUACCCUACGCCGGCAGGCGCGGGUAACCCGUUGAACCCCAUUCGUGAUGGGGAUCGGGGAUUGCAAUUAUUCCCCAUGAACGAGGAAUUCCCGGUAGGUGCGGGUCAUAAGCUUGCGUUGAUUAAGUCCCUGCCCUUUGUACACACCGCCCGUCGCUACUACCGAUUGGAUG